ensembl:lncRNA
AUGACCACCAAACAAAAUACAUGCACAGCUGUGACUUUCACAACUACAUCUCCUACAACUACUGAUUCAACAUCAGUGGCAUCUUCAAGAACAACUGAGGCUUCUACAGAAAAUUCACCUUCAACAACAGCUACAGGUCAAAAAGCAGUGUCAUCUAUGAUGACAACAGAAACGGAAGCUUCCACAACCAUAGAUGUGACCACAAAAAUCAUGCCUGUGUUCUCAGCAACUACAGAUGGUGCUGCACCAACAACAACACCCUCUUCAACAACAAUGUAUGAAGAUUCUACAACUACAGCUGUAACCCCCACAACCACACUCAUAUCCUCACAAACUACAACUGCAUCGUCAACAGCAACAAAUCUUGCUCCUACUGCAACAGCACAAUCUUCUGAAGCUUCAAAAACAACAGCAGCUGUGAACCCCACAACCAUGCCUGUAUUCUCUGCCCCUCCAUCAACAGAAAAUGUUGCUCCAACAACUCCACUGUUUUCAACCACUGAAGGUUAUGCAACUACAGCUGUAAGCCCCACAACCACUCUUAUAUUCUCACCGACUACAACUGAACUCUCAACAGCAACAAAUGCUGCUCCAACUGCAACAGCACAAUCUUCAACAACUGAAGCUUAUACAACCACAGCUGGGAACCCCACAACCAUGCCUGUAUUCUCUGCACCUCCAUCAACAGAAAAUGUUGCUCCAACAACUCCACUGUCUUCGACAACUGAAGCUUCUGCUAGCACAGCUGUGAACCCCACAACCACUCUGAUAUCCUCAGCAACUUCACCUACAACAACAACAAAUGGUGCUGCAACAACACAAUUUUCAACCACUGAAGGUUAUACAACUACAGCUGUAAGCCCCACAACCACUCUUAUAUUCUCACCGACUACAACUGAACUCUCAACAGCAACAAAUGCUGCUCCAACUGCAACAGCACAAUCCUCAACAACUGAAGCUUAUACAACCACAGCUGGGAACCCCACAACCAUACCUGUAUUCUCUGCACCUCCAUCAACAGAAAAUGUUGCUCCAACAAUAACUCCACUGUCUUCGACAACUGAAGCUUCUGCUAGCACAGCUGUGAACCCCACAACCACUCUGAUAUCUUCAGCAACUUCACCUACAACAACAACAAAUGGUGCUGCAACACAAUUUUCAACCACUGAAGGUUAUACAACUACAGCUGUAAGCCCCACAACCACUCUUAUAUUCUCACCGACUACAACUGAACUCUCAACAGCAACAAAUGCUGCUCCAACUGCAACAGCACAAUCUUCAACAACUGAAGCUUAUACAACCACAGCUGGGAACCCCACAACCAUGCCUGUAUUCUCUGCACCUCCAUCAACAGAAAAUGUUGCUCCAACAAUAACUCCACUGUCUUCGACAACUGAAGCUUCUGCUAGCACAGCUGUGAACCCCACAACCACUCUGAUAUCCUCAGCAACUUCACCUACAACAACAACAAAUGGUGCUGCAACAACACAAUUUUCAACCACUGAAGGUUAUACAACUACAGCUGUAAGCCCCACAACCACUCUUAUAUUCUCACCGACUACAACUGAACUCUCAACAGCAACAAAUGCUGCUCCAACUGCAACAGCACAAUCUUCAACAACUGAAUCUUAUACAACCACCGCUGGGAACCCCACAACCAUGCCUGUAUUCUCUGCACCUCCAUCAACAGAAAAUGUUGCUCCAACAAUAACUCCACUGUCUUCGACAACUGAAGCUUCUGCUAGCACAGCUGUGAACCCCACAACCACUCUGAUAUCCUCAGCAACUUCACCUACAACAACAACAAAUGGUGCUGCAACACAAUUUUCAACCACUGAAGGUUAUACAACUACAGCUGUAAGCCCGACAACCACUCUUAUAUUCUCACCGACUACAACUGAACUCUCAACAGCAACAAAUGCUGCUCCAACUGCAACAGCACAAUCUUCAACAACUGAAGCUUAUACAACCACGCUGGGAACCCCCAACCAUGCCUGUAUUCUCUGCACCUCCACCAACAGAAAAUGUUGCUCCAACAAUAACUCCACUGUCUUCGACAACUGA